GCAUUGGUGGUUCAGUGGUAGAAUCCUCGCAUGCCACGCGGGUGUCCGGGUUCGAUUCCCGGCCAAUGCA